rnacentral:rRNA from 1 species
UACGUAGGGUGCGAGCGUUGUCCGGAAUUAUUGGGCGUAAAGAGCUCGUAGGCGGUGUGUCGCGUCGGCCGUGAAAACCUGGGGCUUAACUCUGGGCGUGCUGUCGAUACGGGCAUCACUAGAGUUCGGCAGGGGAGACUGGAAUUCCUGGUGUAGCGGUGAAAUGCGCAGAUAUCAGGAGGAACACCGGUGGCGAAGGCGGGUCUCUGGGCCGAUACUGACGCUGAGGAGCGAAAGCAUGGUUAGCGAACAGG